ensembl:lncRNA
CUCCACCUCAUGUUGUAGUUCCCUUCCCUAGAAUUGUAUGGAAGUUAGAACCUGUGAGGGUGUUUUGGUUCGGCCUGACGAGGCCUGUACCAAUUUCGGUGGUCAGCUUCGUAGUUUUGUGUAUAUAGAAAUUUGGAAAGGGGAGCAGUAUUAAGUUAUUUAUAAUAAAGUGAAAAGUUAUUUGUGAAUGAAGGGACAGAAGGAUCUUUUUGUGUGUGAGAGAUAGUUAUUAGGCCUUGUUCCAUGAUGGGGAGUUCAGGAUGUUGCAUUCCAGGCUUAUCUUUUAACAGUCCUAGGUGCUCCUUGACCCUAAGGGGAGAGAGGAAGAAUAAGAGAGAGAACACAUUUCACCCCCAUUUGUCGACCUACACCAUUAAGGCAGUACAGAGAGACACACUAACACACAGUACAGAGAAAGGAAAUAGAGAGUGUGUUCAACUGAAAGCGUGUGGUGGCCAUACGCCAUAAAAUUCCACAUAUCCAAGGAAUACAGGUAGAGCUCUGUUGAGUUUUCAGGCUUUGAUAAAUUUGUAGUUCCCCGUCUGCCAUGUUUGAAGUUCUCUGUAGUCUCUGUCCAUAGGUUUCACCUGAACAACCCCUCUGCUGGCCGAGAAAAGGAACUACCACUGGUUUCUCCCACACCCAGCCCCCGGAGCACGCGCGCUCUCAAGGCGUUAUGGCCGCACCCAACGUGGGAGGGAGACACGCAGAGAGAGAGAGAAGCCACAUUCCACCCUUAUCUGUUGUCUUGCACCAAACAGCACCCCGUACUGAGGAGGGAGAGAGAGCGUGUUCUCCUGAAGGAGGGAGAGAGUCACAGGGAGACACACAGUGGAUAUUCACAUUAUGGCUAAUUUGUUUAGUUUUAGUUUUGUUUUUUGUCUUCCUAGGACAACAGUUAUCAUUCAUGAUGAUGAACAUCGAAGUUCAUGAGGAGGUUAUAAGGACAAUAACGUUGAUACUGUUGUGUUCACAGCAGUUUGCUGUGUUUUUUCCACCUCCUGGGUCUGCCACUCCUCCUGUCUGUCUCACUUCACACCUGGACCUAUUCUGCAAUCAUGCUCACCUGGUCUUCAUCUCCAAUCAACUCCCCUUCAUAAACCCUUGGAUUCCCUGCUGGGAGGGUACUGUUGUGUUCACAGCAGUUUGCUGUGUUUUUUCCACCUCCUGGGUCUGCCACUCCUCCUGUCUGUCUCACUUCACACCUGGACCUAUUCUGCAAUCAUGCUCACCUGGUCUUCAUCUCCAAUCAACUCCCCUUCAUAAACCCUUGGAUUCCCUGCUGUCGGUGCCAGAUCGUACUACGCACUACUGUGGUAAUGAUACACGCCUAGUAUUUGUGUUACCUCGCUCUCACUCUCUCAUUUUUUGUAGUUUUUUGUCCACGACUCAACUCUGUUUUCCUCUGCCUGCAGUUAUCCGGAUCCCUCACUCCAGCUCGCCUGCUUCGCUCCUUCCCCGGCAACCUCAUCCAAUACCCGCCUCCUCGCCUCGUUCAAUAAACCCUUUUUCCUUCAACUCAACUUCGUCUCCGUCUGCUCUUGGGUUCAGCAUCGUUUAACCAUAACAGAUACUUUAAUAGGACAACAGUGAUGCUAAACUAAUGCAAUUGGACUAAAGAAGGUGUUGCUAUUAACUAAGUGAUUAAUAUUAUUUUCACACAGGAAAGAAUAAUUGAAUAAAUAUGGAUAUGAUAAAGAUGAGAAUAAUAAUAAAAAAAUAAAACGUAAUAUUGAUAAACUGUACAAGCAGGACAACACCUAUUAAAAUAUGGGGUAUAUCUCUUUGGUCAAGGAUGACAGGUGGAUUAGCGCUACAUCUGCUGGGAAGGGAUCCUACAUGCUAUGUUGUCAAUUUGGAUUCGGAAGUAGUGGGUUUACCUUUCAAAUGCCACUACUGCUGCUGCAACACUUUAAUAAUUUUAACUCUGAUAAAUGACUUUUUGUUUUAUAGUUUCCCUGAGGUGUAUUCAUUACGCACACACUUGGCUGCAUAGGGCAGUUGGGGCUGAAGACUCUGUCUCCAUCCCUCCACUUUGCGAUCUAUACCACCAUAUGGGUGGGGAUUGAUUGUAUCUUCCAGGUACGGCAUCCUGCAGCGAGCCAGUAUGGAAGGCUGGUUAGCCAACGACGGGUAAGAUCCCACCUUGACACCCGGGACGACCUAAGGCAGGCACAGUCACGAUUACUUGGCAGAGUCGCUGUGGGCACUGGCUCACUUGAUCAUGAAGUGACGAGCUGCAACAAUCAUAGGAAGUGCUAGGUGGGGUGUAGGGUGUAGGAGGAACAGGAGUCAGAUAUGUCAGCUCUUGCAGCAGAGGUGGUCUUGGAACGGGGCAUGUCGCGUUUUAUUUAAUUUUACCUUUGUGGUAUAGAAGCCCACUAACACAUGUACGUUUUUCGGAUUAGUGCAUGACUUUGGAACAGCGUGGUUUCAGGCGGCUGAUGGUAAACCCACCCAUACUGGUUCGAUUUCCCUUCCCAAAAGAUUGGCUUUAAUUUGCUGAUGGUUAAGGUUAGACGUUUCGACGUUGGUUGCACCAACGGCGUUCUUAGAUUUGCUUAUCAUUUAAUGCGCAUGGUUUUGACCAUUGUGCAAGGGGGGAGGUAUUGAGGAGAAUUAGGAAAAAUUUUGAAAACAAGGUUUUUCUUCACCAUACUUGCAAACAAUGAUUGACAUCCAGCUAAAUGAGUGUGAAAUAUUUGAAAAAACAGUGUUCAACAGAUGGGUAGAAGCAGUCCCAUCAGAAGACCAAAGUGCGGCUACGGUAAUCAAGGUUCUGACUAGAGAAGUCAUGCCAAGGUUUGGAAUUCCGUCACAAAUUAGCUCAGGCGAUAGGGCAGUGUUUAUUCAGAAAACACUCAAACGAGUGAUUUAACAUCUGCAUGUCAAACAAAGACUAGUCUGUGUCUACAAUCCUCAAACCACAAGGUAUGGUGGAGAGAGGAAUGGGACGCUUAAGACAAAGAUUAACAAAAUUAAAUUAGAGUACUAAAUUAAAGGACUAAUGCACUACGACUGACACUAAUGAGUUAUCGCAUGAAACUAACAGAACAACGCAUCUAACCCCGCAUGAAAUGCUUAAGGGUCGACCCAUGCCUUCACUUAACAUUCGAGGGUCCCAAAAGGGACUUCCAUUAGAGUAAUUAGAAAUAGAAUUAAGGAAAAUAUGUUUGAACAUCUAACUGUUGUACAUAAGUUUGUAAUUCCAGCAAGAGAAACACAAAGUUCCAGGGCCAGAGGAGGAGCCAGAUGCAGACACGCCCGAAGCCGACCAACCCAAGGAUGAUGCAAUCAGAUUUCGGCAGGGAUGGAUGGAGAGCCCAGUGAGCGAUGGGCACUACAGGUGCAGCGGGUGCCGUCCAGGCUUACCUGGGGAUCGAGUAUACACCGGGGAGUUUGGACGAGGGACCACCAGAGGGGCCCGACCUGAUCUGGCUGGAGAACAUAGAAUAGACCCCCUGCACCAUUGUCCAAGAGCCCCAACCCACACCCCCCUCCCCCCCCGCCUGUGACGUGCUCGUACCCCUAAUAAGUAAAAGUCGUCUUGCGACGACUUGAGGGGGAUAUGUUGGGAAAAAUAACCUGCUGAGUACAUCACAUGUACAUUACAAAUAUAGCUAACUCCUACCCUAGCCUGAUGAGCACAUCACAUGGCAGUCACAUUACAAUAUAGUCAACUUUUAACACAUAACACAAACAUGAUAAUAUAGUCAGGUCAAGGCCAGAGCCAAGGCCCCAUUUCCCAAGCAGGCAAAUGGUAGACACUCAGACAAUGCACCAGUCAUCCUCAAGAAUGUGAGAGCCACAUUAAAUUAUCACACAGGAGACACUUCGGGGGGGGCGCUCCCCCGUUUUAAUUUAUCACACAGGAGACAUUUCGAAGCUCUCCCCCGUUAGGAGGAACACAAGGGAUACACAUGCAUAUACUCAACCCGGUCUCACGAAAAGUCGUGACACUGUCACGUUAUUUAAUCUAUUGAAACGUGAUCAGGAUCACGUAUUUUCAAAAUGUUCGUGUUUUAAAGCACAAAUUUCCGGCCGUGGUGCAAACAAUAUUAUUCAAGAGUUAUAAUCAGGCCCAACACAUCAAUAUUAGUGACAACCCAUUAAAUACGAUAUGAUUUCUAGAUGUCAUGGCAACGUCCGCUCGCGACACUGGACUUGCGAGGCGUCGACGCGGACUUUCAUUCACAUAACCAAAAACAAGACAGUAGAUGGCUAGAUAAAAUAAACAUCAAGACAUACAGCGCACCUGCAUUUAAUAUAUCCGUGAAUUGUCACAAUUUCUCAGAAUCAAAGGUGAAAGUAGAAACGGGUGGCCUAAAGCUGUCAUAUUGUUCACAGACAAGUUUAAGUAGAAAUGGGUGGCCAAAAGCUGUCAUAUUGUUAGUUAUCAUUGACUUGAAAUACAUGGGUUUGAAAUUUGUGCUGUAAAACACGAAAAUUUUGAAAAUACGUGAUCCUGAUCACGUUUCAAUAGAUUAAAUAACGUGACAGUGUCACGACUUUUCGUGAGACCGGGUUGAUAUACUAGGGCCUGGAAGCCAAGGUCAAGCAAAAACACACAGAACCACACACACCUCAAACGCACACACCUCAUCGAGAGGAGGAUACAGCAUAAAACUGUAUCACACAGGGACUCUGGACCUUCUUCUGAAGCAGACCUUCCACGGAGGCGAAGCUCUGGACGAACCAUCAGCGCUGAUUAGGGACUUAGACAUAUUCGAUUUCUCACGCUUUAUGACUCUGUAUAACCGUUGCCACUUUACUUAAUAAAUCCAAGGUCCUCGUGCCGACAGACUUUAUUACCUCUCCGUCUCAUUGUAUCUGGUCCAGUAACUAGACAGACCGUUUUUCCCCUCACAUGUAAACGCGGCUACUGAUCUCAAAAAGAAACGGCCAGACCACGCUGCUC